GACGCAAGUUGAGCUGUGUGGGAUAUGGGAAGGAAGACUUGGCACACUCAUUGGGAGCACACCCCUGCAGCCCUGCGAUGACCCGCUACUUUGGGCUUCAGGAACUUUGCUGAAACUAUGGCGGAAUAUUUACUGCGGGAUGGGCAAAGAAUAGCAAACAGAAGCAGAGUGACGGGACUUCAGGCAGUUGAGAGGAUUCAUAACCGAUGUGGAAUUACUCUUGUUGACGGCUGCUGAUGAGUGACUACGGUCCUGCAGUACCUGAGGGGGCUCCGACCCAGGCCAAACCCAAGACGCCAUCAUCAAAGUCUCUGUCAGUGAAAACGUAAGCCAAACAGUAGUCAUCGUGGUUCUGCUCGGAGUUCAG